rnacentral:rRNA from 1 species
UACAGAGGUCCCAAGCGUUGUUCGGAUUCACUGGGCGUAAAGGGUGCGUAGGCGGUCGGGUAAGUCUGAUGUGAAAUCUCGACAGCCUUAACUGUGAAACUGCAUUGGAUACUAUUCGGCUUGAGAGUUGGAGGGGGGACUGGAAUUCUUGGUGUAGCAGUGAAAUGCGUAGAUAUCAAGAGGAACACCAGUGGCGAAGGCGAGUCCCUGGACAACUUCUGACGCUGAGGCACGAAAGCUAGGGAGCAAACAGG